UGUUAUUCCACAUCUAACACAACCACAUCCCAACAGAUCCGAACACGUCCGAUAUCAUCCAAGAGAAUGUGGCAGCUGAAGGGGAGAGUCCAAGAAAGAGGCCAAGGGUGAAGACAUUUAGCCACUCCCUGAACUACAUGGCAGCAUCCAACCCUCUUGGUGAGCUGCAGGGAUGUGCUUCCCAUUGCAGUGCACCAGCUCCAUGUACUGAUUUUGGGUGUGAACUUGAUGGGGUUGGAGGAAACUCGACUCGGCCAUCAAGCUCACCACAAUAUAACAUGAAAAGUGAAAAUUGCUGCACACAACAGUCUGUCGUCUGCACCGGGAGGCAAGGCAGCUCAAAGCCCAGGCUGUUACAACUCCUGGGCAGUUUUUGCCCAGAGCCAGCAAUUUUUUAGAUCCAAUAGGGAUGGAUUUUUUCUGAGGUCAGGUUCAACAUGCUGCAAGAUGCCAAGAUCUAAGCCUAGUAGGAGAUAUGGGUUACAAGAGAGGAGGUUUGCUCUGGCCUUAUACUAUCAAAAUCCAAAUGCUAAUAGAUUUCUGAGCACAGUAUUUCACUUGUCUUCAGUUUCAACACUUCACUCAUGACUCAGGGGUAUUUCAGUACAUGUUGGCUGGAGCAAACAGACUCUGACAGCCCUGCAGCAAAGAGCACAGGCUUUGUCAAAAGAAGAGAAACUUCAUGGGAUUUGCCAUUAUUUAGUAUUACUCUUGUUACGCCAAGAAUUUUUUUCCAUAUACUUUGCCAAACAUUGCAAGUAAUGCACCAUUGUUGGGCUUGCUUGUUAUAAAUCAGAUCUUGUUCAAUUAACAAGCUUUGGGUGUCUGCCACUUUCCAGUUGUAAUGCAAGGAAUCAUUUAUCUUCCCUGCCAGAUAUCACAUGUAAUGCACCAUUGUUGGUUUUGCCUGUUAUAAAUCAGAUCUUGUUCAGUUAACAAGCUUUAGGUGUCUGCCACUUUCCAGUUGUAAUGCAAGGAAUCCCCUGCCAGAUGUCGCAUGUAAUGCACCAUUGUUGGUUUUGCCUGUUAUAAAUCAGAUCUUGUUCAGCUCACAAGCUUUGAAUAUCUGCCAUUGUUUAUUUCAGGUGUAAUGCUUGGAAGCAUUUGUUCUCUUCCCUACCCAACAGUAUGCAAUGCUUUAUUGUGGAU